CGCUGCGGGGCAGACACCCGACACGGAAUCCCGCCGGGCCGGGGGCCUCGGCCUCCGGAUCCCCGGGGAAGGCGGCAGGGGCCGAGGCUGUUACGGGACUCGGUGACCCGGGCAGCCGCCCCCGGUAGAAACACAGGUGCCGGCGGCGGGCUCCGCGGAGCCGAAGCCCCGGUGAGCGCGCACCCGGCCCUCAGCGGAACCGCCCGGCGACCACGGCCAGCGGCCGCGCGUUCCUGCUUACUCACCUACUGCGCACCUUCGCACCCAGCAUUCUCGCUCAGGGCGUGCAAGGCCGGGGUGGGGGCCCAGGGCGCCUUAGGCAGGCCGCCCCGCCCCAGAAGCUGCCGGCCGGCCACCGGGUGACCGCGCAGCCCCCGCCAAACGCGCGUCCCACGCGAGGCAGGAGCGCGCCGCGACCCGAAUCCCGAGGGGACGAUAAGCCGAGUCGCUUUAAGAGGAGGUGGGAGGGGAGGGCGGAGAGGGAGAGAAGCGAGUCCUUGGCAGAGGGCACAGGAACCAGGAAAGCUUGGAACUGAAAUCGCAGGCUGUGCGGGGCCCCUGGCUGCAGGGUGAGGUGCGGCCCUGUGACGUCAGGAUGCCACGAGGCCGGAGAGGAAGACCGGGGAGCGCCGAGGAAGCCAAGGCCUCCUCCGGGACCACGGACGACCGCUGGGGAAUCUCACGUCAGGAAUGAAUGGCCCUGGAGAGCCCCCCCGCCCCCCGCCCUUGCAAAAGAGAAGAGAGAAGACUCAGUCGCUCUCUCCACGCCUGCCUCGAAGACAACCUGCCAACAGUAAUGAAAGUAUCCUGAUUGGAAGACAAAGGUGAAGACAUUCUAUCUACCAUGAGCUUAUAAAGGUAUUUGAACAAAUUGGGCGUGUGAUAUCUACUGCCUGAAAUUGCUAAUUUAGGUGCAGAGAGCAAGUUUUCUAGAUUCCCUCAGGCUAACCUAAUUGACCUCUAUCCAAUCACAUCCACCAAAAAGAAAACUAAAAACAAGAGCACACACAACCCCGCUGCUCCCUCUACAUGUGUGACGCCACUUAUUUCCAUUUUUCUGCUGCGUAUUACCUUAUAAAGCCUAUAAAACCUUGUACAAAGCA